GAUGAACGCUGGCGGCGUGCUUAACACAUGCAAGUCGAACGGGAUCCUGCGGGCUUUGCCUGCGGGUGAGAGUGGCGAACGGGUGAGUAAUGCGUGACCAACCUGCCCCAUGCUCCGGAAUAGCUCCUGGAAACGGGUGGUAAUGCCGGAUGUUCCCGCGCCCCGCAUGGGGUGCGGGGAAAGCUUUUGCGGCGUGGGAUGGGGUCGCGUCCUAUCAGCUUGUUGGCGGGGUGAGGGCCCACCAAGGCUUCGACGGGUAGCCGGCCUAAGAGGGCGACCGGCCACAUUGGGACUGAGAUACGGCCCAGACUCCUACGGGAGGCAGCAGUGGGGAAUAUUGCACAAUGGGCGCAAGCCUGAUGCAGCGACGCCGCGUGCGGGAUGGAGGCCUUCGGGUUGUAAACCGCUUUUGUUUGGGAGCAAGCCCUUCGGGGUGAGUGUACCUUUCGAAUAAGCACCGGCUAACUACGUGCCAGCAGCCGCGGUAAUACGUAGGGUGCGAGCGUUAUCCGGAUUUAUUGGGCGUAAAGGGCUCGUAGGCGGUUCGUCGCGUCCGGUGUGAAAGUCCAUCGCCUAACGGUGGAUCUGCGCCGGGUACGGGCGGGCUGGAGUGCGGUAGGGGAGACUGGAAUUCCCGGUGUAACGGUGGAAUGUGUAGAUAUCGGGAAGAACACCAAUGGCGAAAGGCAGGUCUCUGGGCCGUUACUGACGCUGAGGAGCGAAAGCGUGGGGAGCGAACAGGAUUAGAUACCCUGGUAGUCCACGCCGUAAACGGUGGAUGCUGGAUGUGGGGCCCUUCCACGGGUCCCGUGUCGGAGCCAACGCGUUAAGCAUCCCGCCUGGGGAGUACGGCCGCAAGGCUAAAACUCAAAGAAAUUGACGGGGGCCCGCACAAGCGGCGGAGCAUGCGGAUUAAUUCGAUGCAACGCGAAGAACCUUACCUGGGCUUGACAUGUUCCCGACGACGGCGGAGACGUCGUUUCCCUUCGGGGCGGGUUCACAGGUGGUGCAUGGUCGUCGUCAGCUCGUGUCGUGAGAUGUUGGGUUAAGUCCCGCAACGAGCGCAACCCUUGUCAUUAGUUGCUACGAAAGGGCACUCUAAUGAGACUGCCGGUGACAAACCGGAGGAAGGUGGGGAUGACGUCAAGUCCUCAUGGCCCUUAUGGGUAGGGCUUCACACGUCAUACAAUGGUACAUACAGAGCGCCGCCAACCCGCGAGGGGGAGCUAAUCGCAGAAGGUGUAUCGUAGUCCGGAUUGUAGUCUGCAACUCGACUGCAUGAAGUUGGAAUCGCUAGUAAUCGCGGAUCAGCAUGUCGCGGUGAAUACGUUCCCGGGUCUUGUACACACCGCCCGUCACACCAUGGGAGCGGGUUUUACCAGAAGUAGGUAGCUUAACCGCAAGGAGGGCGCUUACCACGGUAGGAUUCGUGACUGGGGUG
rnacentral:rRNA from 1 species